UACGGAGGGUGCAAGCGUUAUCCGGAUUCACUGGGUUUAAAGGGUGCGUAGGCGGGUAUGUAAGUCCGUGGUGAAAUCUCCGAGCUUAACUCGGAAACUGCCAUGGGUACUGUGUAUCUUGAAUGUUGUGGAGGUGAGCGGAAUAUGUCAUGUAGCGGUGAAAUGCUUAGAUAUGACAUAGAACACCAAUUGCGAAGGCAGCUCACUACACAAAUAUUGACGCUGAGGCACGAAAGCGUGGGGAUCAAACAGG
rnacentral:rRNA from 1 species